UAUAAAAUUAGUGCGCAAAAAUAGAGCACUUUAAGUAGCUACAUUAUGAAAGUGGACUUUUUUAACCUGGGACUGCAUAGCAACAUGAUAAAACACCCUGGCAACCACCAAAACACCAAACCAUCCACCCAGCAUGACUACAGUAGCUACUAUCUACUACAUCUUAAUAACUGCAUGCUAAAACACUCAAAAGACCAAAUACACCUAGCCAGCAACUCACAACAUCCUAGCAACUACAGAGCAAUACCCUAGCAACUGUACAGAACGCCAUAACAACUGCACACUAACAUGUUUAAACACGCAGGACACCUUAUCAACUACAAAGAUCCUGGCAGGAACUCAACACCAUAGCAAACUUUUGCAGCAAGCAACAAACCCCUCAGCGACAGCCCAACAACAUGGCACCGUCACUUUUUCUCUGUUUAAUGUAAUUUUGUUUGAUAACACUUCUUUCUGUUUCUCCACAGUGCAAACUCCUCAUUAGUAACAGACAACCUCCACCUGGCUCUAGGUUAUGUGGACACCGAGCGUCCAGGAAUCUCAAGGACGUAUCACUCUCCCAGAUUAAACAAUAGUCACUCUCUGUCAAACUCGCCAUUCCCAAAACUGCCACGCUGGAGGAAAAUGAGCCCCCGCUCGGCCCCCUCUCCGUGCUCGACAGAGAGAGAGAGUGGGGGAGAUCGCUUUAGCCUGAAGGAGAGACCAGAUAGUGAAAUAAUCUUUAAUCUCUGUCCCUUCCAGGCAUCGGCAACACCUGUUUUCCUUGAUGGCGUCGUGCGAGAGGGCAGCGUUCAGCCUUGUUUUAAAGCUGAUUGCCUGACUUAUAAAUAUGAAUGUCUGCUCUGCUCGGCCCGCCUCAAAUCCCCGGUGGUCACUCUGUCUGCUCACACGGCAUCUGAUGAAGCAUUCAAACACAGGGGGACGUAAGUGACAAUGACACUACAAAGCUCAACGAUGAAGCCAGACAGGAUCUCAUUACGGCAUGAGACUGUUAAUAAUAAACUAUCACAGGUCCCAAAUCCACGACGGUAUUAGGUGAAACAGAUUGCUCGGGUCUGAAUUUAAACCCACAGCCCUCCUCGAGGAGAGUCAAGUCCAAUGACAAACAUAAUUCUUCAAGGAAGUUUGGAAAUACUCGGCCAGGAAAAUGGAGGUUGGAGAUGGGGUGUCUCGAAAAGGUCAAGAUUUGCUGUUUGGAAGCCUAGCUCAAACAUAAAUGCUCUGUAAUACCGGUUUGGGUGAUUGCUUUACUCUCUAGACAAUGUCAAUUUUGUGGAAGGAGUUGCAGAUUAAGUCGCCGGCGUGUCAAGGGCCCUCGUGGGGGCCAGUGUCUAGUCUCGGAAACAGGUCCUAAAGCCCAUGCCUAUUACCACAGCCACCCACAGGACAGAUGUUUAAAGCUUAGGGGCGCAAUGGAGAAUAAUAGCACAUUAGAUUCUUAAUGUCUCUGUUGAUGCCGCGCUCAUGUGGGAGGAAAAUCUCUGGUGGUCCAAACACCUUGCCCCUUUUUUUCCUCAUCCCUCUCUUUAUUUUUCUUAGCUCCAUCCAGAUUUGGUUGCUCUGUCUCUCCUCAUGCCACUUGAGCGAUGAAUCCUACCCUGGAGCAAGGCGCCACACACAAUUCAUCAAGAUAUGACCCGCUCAGAGGAUGCACUGGGCUAAUGAACUCAUUAAAAUGUGUGCGCGUGUCGGCGCGUGUGGGCGGAUGUGGAUGUUUGCGCGAGCGCACGCGCGUCUGCCUUGUGGGUUUAAUGUAUAUGUUUGUGUAAAAGGGAAAGAGGGAAAGAUGGCCCGCCGAUGGAAAACCAUUAGCCCCACCUCACAGUUCAGAUUGCAAGCAUUUAUCUUGGCAGAUAUGAUGGCUGUUUAAAGCGGUGAUGUAUAUCUGCUGUGUGCCGGAUUCAAAGGCCGGGAAAACUGACUAUGAAGAAAAUGAUUCAAGAUGCAGAUCCAUCAUUUGAGAAUUGCCUCCUUCAUAGGCGGCGUACUGUACAGGAAAAGCUUUUAGUCCUGUGAUUGUCUUGAUUAUGAGCUUCACUUACGGAAGUGACAUAAUAUUUAUACAUAAUAAUUAUUAGCUAAGAAAUGUGGGUGACAAGCUUUCUGCCAGUUUUGAUAAUGAUUUGUCACAUAUUAAAU